ensembl:misc_RNA 7SK 7SK RNA
AAAUAUGAGGGUGAUCUGGCUGCAACAUCUGUCACCCCAUUGAUCACCAGGGUUGAUUUGGCUGAUCUGGCUGACUAGGUGGGCCUCCCCUUCCUUCCUCACCCCUCCAUGUGCAUCCCUCCCAAAGCUGCACACUCUGUCAAAGAGGACGACCACCCCCAAUAGAGGACCGGUUUUUGGUCAAGGGUAUAUGAGUAGCUGCAUUCCCCUUCUAGAACCUCCAAACAAGCUCUCAAAAAUAUACACAUAAGCAAUUAGUAUAGACAAUUGCUGUUACAUUCAUAAGUUUAUUCUGUAAUCAUAAAUAAAGUU